rnacentral:rRNA from 1 species
UAAGCGGAGGAAAAGAAACUAACCAGGAUUCCCCUAGUAACGGCGAGUGAAGCGGGAAUAGCUCAACUUUGUAAUCUGGCCCUUUCAGGGUCCGAGUUGUAGUCUCGAGAAGUCAUGUCCGCGCCGGACCUUGGACAAGUCGGUUGGAAUACCGCGUCAACGAGGGUGACAAUCCCGUUUAUGCCAAGGACGCCCGUGUGCAUUGUGAUGGGCUUUCAAAGAGUCGAGUUGUUUGGGAAUGCAGCUCAAAUCGGGUGGUAAAUUCCAUCUAAAGCUAAAUAUUGGCGAGAGACCGAUAGCGAACAAGUACCGUGAGGGAAAGAUGAAAAGCACUUUGGAAAGAGAAUGAAACAGUAUGUGAAAUUGCUGGAAGGGAAACGAUUGAGGUUAGACUUGCUGGCGCGGCACUCAGCCCUCACGGGUGUACUUGCUGCGCGUUGCAGGCCAGCAUCGGUUUGGUUUCCGGUAAAAGGGCGCCAGGAACGUAGCAACCUCGGUUGUGUUAUAGACUGGCGCUGGAUGCCUGGAUCCCAGACCGAGGAACGCAGGGCGCCUUUUAGGCACUGGCUCCGGUCAGCGAGCCCUUAGGAUGCUGGUAGAAUAGCCUUAACGACCCGUCUUGAAACACG